UACGGAGGGUGCAAGCGUUGUUCGGAAUUAUUGGGCGUAAAGAGCUCGUAGGCGGUUUGUCGCGUCUGCUGUGAAAUCCCGAGGCUCAACCUCGGGCCUGCAGUGGGUACGGGCAGACUGGAGUGCGGUAGGGGAGAAUGGAAUUCCUGGUGUAGCGGUGAAAUGCGCAGAUAUCAGGAGGAACACCGGUGGCGAAGGCGGUUCUCUGGGCAUUACCUGACGCUGAGGAGCGAAAGUGUGGGGAGCGAACAGG
rnacentral:rRNA from 1 species